AGCGCAGGCGGUCUUUUAAGUCUAAUGUGAAAGCCUUCGGCUCAACCGAAGAAGUGCAUUGGAAACUGGGAGACUUGAGUGCAGAAGAGGGCAGUGGAACUCCAUGUGUAGCGGUGAAAUGCGUAGAUAUAUGGAAGAACACCAGUGGCGAAGGCGGCUGUCUGGUCUGCAACUGACGCUGAGGCUCGAAAGCAUGGGGAGCAAACA
rnacentral:rRNA from 1 species